rnacentral:rRNA from 1 species
GACGAACGCUGGCGGCGUGCUUAACACAUGCCAGUCGAACGGAAAGGCCAGGCUUUUGUGGGGUGCUCGAGUGGCGAACGGGGGAGUAACACGUGAGUAACCUGCCCUUGACUGUGGGAUAACUUCAGGAAACUGGGGCUAAUACCGCAUAGGAGCUCCUGCUGCAUGGUGGGGGUUGGAAAGUUUCGGCGGUGGGGGAUGGACUCGCGGCUUAUGAGCUUGUUGGUGGGGUAGUGGCUUACCAAGGCUUUGACGGGUAGCCGGCCUGAGAGGGUGACCGGCCACAUUGGGACUGAGAUACGGCCCAGACUCCUACGGGAGGCAGCAGUGGGGAAUAUUGCACAAUGGGCGGAAGCCUGAUGCAGCAACGCCGCGUGCGGGAUGACGGCCUUCGGGUUGUAAACCGCUUUCGCCUGUGACGAAGCGUGAGUGACGGUAAUGGGUAAAGAAGCACCGGCUAACUACGUG